rnacentral:rRNA from 1 species
GCGCGCAGGCGGCCUCCCGCGUGAGUGGUAAAAGCUCCCGGCUUAACUGGGAGAGGUCCAUUCAGACGGGGAGGCUUGAGCGUCGGAGAGGGGCAUGGAAUUCCGGGUGGAGCGGUGAAAUGCGUAGAGAUCCGGAGGAACACCAAUGGCGAAGGCAGUGCCCUGGCCGACGGCUGACGCUCAGGCGCGAAAGCGUGGGGAGCAAACAGGAUUAGAUACCCUGGUAGUCCACGCCGUAAACGAUGUCCACUAAGUGUGCAAGGUAUCGACCCCUUGUGUGCCGUAGCUAACGCAAUAAGUGGACCGCCUGGGGAGUACGGUCGCAAGAUUAAA